rnacentral:rRNA from 1 species
AGAGUUUGAUCAUGGCUCAGGAUAAACGCUGGCGGCGUGCCUAACACAUGCAAGUCGAACGAUCCCGCAAGGGAGAGUGGCGGAAGGGUGAGUAACACGUGGGAAUCUACCUCCUCGCAGGGAACAACCUCUCGAAAAGAGAGGCUAAUACCCAAAAGGGUCAGAAAAUGAUCAGAGUCGAAAGGCGUGAGGAGAGGAGCCCGCGGCCCAUCAGCUAGUUGGUGAGGUAAUGGCUUACCGAGGCUACGACGGGUAGGGGAUCUGAGAGGAUCGUCCCCCACACUGGAACUGAAACACGGUCCAGACGCCGUACGGGGUGGCAGCAGUGAGGAAUAUUGGACAAGUGGGCGAAAGCCCGAUCCAGCAACGCCGCGUGGAGGAUGAAGGCCUUCGGGUCGUAAACUUCUUAGAGGGAGACGAGAAAGGACGGUAUCCCUAGAAUAAGCGACGGCAAACUACGUG